ACCUAAUACUGGUGCUGCGCAGCUGACCAAAGAUAAAUUCAAGACUCUGAUAAAUAUAAAGAUGUGCACACAUGACGAGGUGAGGUAUGAAAUGAUAAUCCAGUAAGCAAAGCUGUAGUUUCUAGUGUAGUUCUCUUCUCUCUGAGAUCGCAGUUCCACUUUCACUUUCUCCUAUCCCUAUUCUACUUUCACAAGGCUUUCUCUAUCACCAUUGUCAUGCUCUUCAAAUAGUUCCUUUACUUUCGCAAAGACAUCUCUGCAAAUUCUUUGAGUUUUGAAAUCUCUCACGACCUGAAGAAACCUUUCAUAUAUGUCUCUUUGGUCAGAAAACUGAAGGGUAAGAGUCUGUCAGUUUAGGACCUAAAGGAGGGUAAUGAAAUUGAGGUUCUUUUCUUUCUUAAGGUCAAUGAUCAGCUUACUAUGUUAUCUGUUUUGUCAUGUACCAGUUUCAUCUCAGCAGAGAAAUUUAAGCUUCAGAUGUGUUCACUUGAGGUUGUCAUUAGCUGGGAUGAGCGAGAGCAAGCUAGGAGAAAGAAGUUGUGCAUUUUUUGUAUUUUGAACAAUGACAAAGAUUUAUGAAUCAUUGAAUAACAAUAUUGUGAAAGAGUAUACAAGCUUCUCAUUUGUAUUUUUGCACAGAAUGUGAUUUGUAUGGGUUUUGCAAUUUUUUUUU